rnacentral:rRNA from 1 species
GACGAACGCUGGCGGCGUGCUUAACACAUGCAAGUCGAACGGAAAGGCCCUGCUUUUGUGGGGUGCUCGAGUGGCGAACGGGUGAGUAACACGUGAGUAACCUGCCCUUGACUUUGGGAUAACUUCAGGAAACUGGGGCUAAUACCGGAUAGGAGCUCCUGCUGCAUGAUGGGGGUUGGAAAGUUUCGGCGGUUGGGGAUGGACUCGCGGCUUAUCAGCUUGUUGGUGGGGUAGUGGCUUACCAAGGCUUUGACGGGUAGCCGGCCUGAGAGGGUGACCGGCCACAUUGGGACCGAGAUACGGCCCAGACUCCUACGGGAGGCAGCAGUGGGGAAUAUUGCACAAUGGGCGGAAGCCUGAUGCAGCAACGCCGCGUGCGGGAUGACGGCCUUCGGGUUGUAAACCGCUUUCGCCUGUGACGAAGCGUGAGUGACGGUAAUGGGUAAAGAAGCACCGGCUAACUACGUG